rnacentral:piRNA from 1 species
UUCAGAAAAUUGUGCAUGGAA